rnacentral:rRNA from 1 species
GACGAACGCUGGCGGCGUGCUUAACACAUGCCAGUCGAACGGAAAGGCCCUGCUUGCAGGUUGCUCGAGUGGCGAACGGGUGAGUAACACGUGGGUGAUCUGCCCCUUGCUUUGGGUUAAGCCUGGGAAACUGGGUCUAAUACUGGAAAGGACCAUGCGGGAGGGGGUGUGGUGGAAAGAUUAGUUUCGGUAAGGGAUGAGCUCGCGGCCUAUCAGCUUGUGUGGGGGGUAAUGGCCUACCAAGGCGGCGACGGGUAGCGGGCCUGAGGGGGGGGACGGCCACAUUGGGACUGAGCUACGGCCCAGACUCCUACGGGAGGCAGAAGGGGGGAAUAUUGCACAAUGGGCGCAAGCCUGAUGCAGCGAGGCCGCGUGGGGGAUGACGGCCUUCGGGUUGUAAACUCCUCACAGACAUGACGACGCCUUCGGGUGACGUUAGUGGCAGAAGAAGCACCGGCUAACUACGUG